GGCCCGUUGGUCAAGCGGCUAAGACGCUAGCCUCUCACGCUGGAAACGGGGGUUCGAUUCCCCCACGGGUCACCA
rnacentral:tRNA from 1 species